AUUGAACGCUGGCGGCAGGCUUAACACAUGCAAGUCGAGCGGAGCGAGGGUGCUUGCACCUUAGCUUAGCGGCGGACGGGUGAGUAAUGCUUAGGAAUCUGCCUAUUAGUGGGGGACAACAUUCCGAAAGGAAUGCUAAUACCGCAUACGCCCUACGGGGGAAAGCAGGGGAUCUUCGGACCUUGCGCUAAUAGAUGAGCCUAAGUCGGAUUAGCUAGUUGGUGGGGUAAAGGCCUACCAAGGCGACGAUCUGUAGCGGGUCUGAGAGGAUGAUCCACCACACUGGGACUGAGACACGGCCCAGACUCCUACGGGAGGCAGCAGUGGGGAAUAUUGGACAAUGGGCGGAAGCCUGAUCCAGCCAUGCCGCGUGUGUGAAGAAGGCCUUUUGGUUGUAAAGCACUUUAAGCGAGGAGGAGGCUCUUAAGGUUAAUACCCUUGGUGAGUGGACGUUACUCGCAGAAUAAGCACCGGCUAACUCUGUGCCAGCCGCCGCCGUAACAC
rnacentral:rRNA from 1 species